rnacentral:rRNA from 1 species
UACAGAGGUCUCAAGCGUUGUUCGGAAUCACUGGGCGUAAAGGGUGCGUAGGCCGCACGGUAAGUCAGAGGUGAAAUCCCGGAGCUCAACUUCGGAAUUGCCUCCGAUACUGCCGUGCUUGAGGACUGGAGAGGAGUCUGGAAUUCACAGUGGAGCAGUGAAAUGCGUAGAUAUUGUGAGGAACACUAGUGGCGAAGGCGAGUCCCUGGACAACACCUGACACUGAGGCACGAAAGCUAGGGGAGCAAACAGG